GACGAACCGUGCGAACGUUGUUCGGAUUCACUGGGCUUAAAGGGCGCGUAGGCGGACUUGCAAGUCUGUGGUGAAAGCCCCCAGCUCAACUGGGGAAGUGCCGUGGAUACUGUGAGUCUGGAGGAGGGUAGGGGCAUCUGGAACGCUGGGUGGAGCGGUGAAAUGCGUUGAUAUCCAGCGGAACUCCGGUGGCGAAGGCGAGGUGCUGGACCCUUCUGACGCUGAUGCGCGAAGCCAGGGAGCAAAGCGGG
rnacentral:rRNA from 1 species